GACGAACGCUGGCGGCGUGCCUAAUACAUGCAAGUUGAGCGAUGAAGAUUGGUGCUUGCACCAAUUUGAAGAGCAGCGAACGGGUGAGUAACGCGUGGGGAAUCUGCCUUUGAGCGGGGGACAACAUUUGGAAACGAAUGCUAAUACCGCAUAACAACUUUAAACAUAAGUUUUAAGUUUGAAAGAUGCAAUUGCAUCACUCAAAGAUGAUCCCGCGUUGUAUUAGCUAGUUGGUGAGGUAAAGGCUCACCAAGGCGAUGAUACAUAGCCGACCUGAGAGGGUGAUCGGCCACAUUGGGACUGAGACACGGCCCAAACUCCUACGGGAGGCAGCAGUAGGGAAUCUUCGGCAAUGGACGAAGGUCUGACCGAGCAACGCCGCGUGAGUGAAGAAGGUUGUCGGAUCGUAAAACUCUGUUGGUAGAGAAGAACGUUGGUGAGAGUGGAAAGCUCAUCAAGUGACGGUAACUACCCAGAAAGGGACGGCUAACUACGUG
rnacentral:rRNA from 1 species